rnacentral:rRNA from 1 species
GAUCAUAGCUCAGGAUGAACGCUAGCUACAGGCCUAACACAUGCAAGUCGAGGGGCAGCAUGGACCCAGCUUUGCUGGGUUUGAUGGCGACCGGCGCACGGGUGAGUAACGCGUAUCCAACCUGCCCUUUACUCCGGGAUAGUCUCCUGAAAGGGAGUUUAAUACCGGAUGUGUUUGUCUUUCCGCAUGGGAGCGACAAAUAAAGAUUGAUUGGUAAAGGGAAUGGGGAUGCGUCCCAUUAG